UACGAAGGGGGCUAGCGUUGCUCGGAAUCACUGGGCGUAAAGGGUGUGUAGGCGGGUUUUUAAGUCAGAGGUGAAAUCCUGGAGCUCAACUCCAGAACUGCCUUUGAUACUGGGAAUCUUGAGUAUGGGAGAGGUGAGUGGAACUGCGAGUGUAGAGGUGAAAUUCGUAGAUAUUCGCAAGAACACCAGUGGCGAAGGCGGCUCACUGGCCCAUAACUGACGCUGAGGCACGAAAGCGUGGGGAGCAAACAGG
rnacentral:rRNA from 1 species